rnacentral:rRNA from 1 species
AGAGUUUGAUCCUGGCUCAGGAUGAACGCUAGCGGGAGGCCUAACACAUGCAAGCUGAGCGGUAUUUGUCUUUCGGGACAGAGAGAGCGGCGUACGGGUGCGUAACACGUGUGCAACCUGCCUUUAUCAGGAGGAUAGCCUUUCGAAAGGAAGAUUAAUACUCCAUAAUAUAUUAAUUGGCAUCAAUUGAUAUUGAAAACUCCGGUGGAUAAAGAUGGGCACGCGCAAGAUUAGAUAGUUGGUGAGGUAACGGCUCACCAAGUCGAUGAUCUUUAGGGGGCCUGAGAGGGUGAUCCCCCACACUGGUACUGAGACACGGACCAGACUCCUACGGGAGGCAGCAGUGAGGAAUAUUGGACAAUGGGUUAGCGCCUGAUCCAGCCAUCCCGCGUGAAGGAUUAAGGACCUAUGGUUUGUAAACUUCUUUUGUACAGGGAUAAACCUACCCUCGUGAGGGUAGCUGAAGGUACUGUACGAAUAAGCACCGGCUAACUCCGUG